rnacentral:rRNA from 1 species
UACGUAGGGGGCGAGCGUUGUCCGGAUUUAUUGGGCGUAAAGAGCUCGUAGGCGGUUCCGUGAGUCGGCUGUGAAAUCUCCACGCUCAACGUGGAGGGGUCAGUCGAUACUGCGGUGACUCGAGUCCGGUAGGGGAGUGUGGAAUUCCCGGUGUAGCGGUGAAAUGCGUAGAUAUGUGGAGGAACACCGAUGGCGAAGGCAGCCCCCUGGGUUAACACUGACGCUCAUGCACGAAAGCGUGGGGAGCAAACAGG